rnacentral:lncRNA from 1 species
ACGCAAACAAAAUAUAAACAAAUAUACAAAUAGCAGAAUAAAACAAAAGGGCAAUUGCUUAUAUAUCCUUGAAAAGAUCCUGAAUUUCUGAUUUACCCCUCUCAGAAGACUAACAUUGAAAAUAUCUUUUUUUUACAUUCCAAUCUAUUUCAAAUAUACCUCAUAGAGUUAAAUUAUGUUAAUAAACUGUUAGUAAUAGCUAUUAUCUGUAUGAAAUUAUUAUUUUACCAUUUCAAAUAUAUCCUUCUAGCAUGACCGACUUUUCUUAUUUGACCUUAAGGCUUGGUUUAGGAUUGCGGGGAGAUUGCUUUACGUGCGGUGAGAAAGUACGUUGAAAAAAUAUCCUGUUUGUUUCCGUAAGUAGUAAUAUUACAUUCCGCAUAUCGCGAUGAGUAGGUUAUGAUAUAUUUUCUACGGUUCCAUCGGAAAACGCAGAAAUAUAUCCCUAUAUGCUUUUUCCUCAGUUCAAUUUUAUCUAAUAGCGUUUGAUAGGCCUCAAUACCAAACUAAGCCUAAGUUAGGAGCACAAAAUGUAUUUUAAUUUUUAAUUUGUUUAAAUAUACCUUUCUACCAUUACCAAUAUUUCUUAUUUGUCCUUGACUUAAGGGCAAAAGGGGUAUUUUAAUUUUUUUUUAAUUAUAAUAUAUAUUUGACUCAUGUUUAAGUUAUGUUAACUUAACAAUUAGUAACUGUCGGGGUAUUAUGAAAUAAUGAAGGAACAUACUAUGGGUAUAUUAGAAAUAAAAAAAAAUAAAUGAGAUAUUUUUAAAGUUUUGAACGAUAUAUAAGCAAUUA